UGGGGAAUUUUGGACAAUGGGCGAAAGCCUGAUCCAGCAAUGCCGCGUGUGUGAAGAAGGCCUUCGGGUUGUAAAGCACUUUUGUCCCGGAAAGAAAUCCUUGGCUCUAAUACAGUCGGGGGAUGACGGUACCGGAAGAAUAAGCACCGGCUAACUACGUGCCAGCAGCCGCGGUAAUACGUAGGGUGCAAGCGUUAAUCGGAAUUACUGGGCGUAAAGCGUGCGCAGGCGGUUUGCUAAGACCGAUGUGAAAUCCCCGGGCUCAACCUUGGGAACUGCAUUGGUGACUGGGCAGGCUAGAGUAUGGGCAGGAGGGGGGUAGAAUUCCCACGUGUAGCAGUGAAAUGCGUAGAGAUGUGGAGGAAUACCGAUGGCGAAAGGCAGCCCCCUGGGCCAAUACUGACGCUC
rnacentral:rRNA from 1 species